GACGAACGCUGGCGGCGUGCUUAACACAUGCAAGUCGAACGGAAAGGCCCUGCUUUUGUGGGGUGCUCGAGUGGCGAACGGGUGAGUAACACGUGAGUAACCUGCCCUUGACUUUGGGAUAACUUCAGGAAACUGGGGCUAAUACCGGAUAGGAGCUCCUGCUGCAUGGUGGGGGUUGGAAAGUUUCGGCGGUUGGGGAUGGACUCGCGGCUUAUCAGCUUGUUGGUGGGGUAGUGGCUUACCAAGGCUUUGACGGGUAGCCGGCCUGAGAGGGUGACCGGCGAAAUUGGGACUGAGAGACGGCCCAGAAUCCAACGGGAGGCAGCAGUGGGGAAUAUUGCAAAAUGGGCGGAAGCCUGAUGCAGCAACGCCGCGUGCGGGAUGACGGCCUUCGGGUUGUAAACCGCUUUCGCCUGUGACGAAGCGUGAGUGACGGUAAUGGGUAAAGAAGCACCGGCUAACUACGUG
rnacentral:rRNA from 1 species